GACGAACGCUGGCGGCGUGCUUAACACAUGCAAGUCGAACGGAAAGGCCCUGCUUUUGUGGGGUGCUCGAGUGGCGAACGGGUGAGUAACACGUGAGUAACCUGCCCUUGACUUUGGGAUAACUUCAGGAAACUGGGGCUAAUACCGGAUAGGAGCUCCUGCUGCAUGGUGGGGGUUGAAAAGUUUCGGCGGUUGGGGAUGGACUCGCGGCUUAUCAGCUUGUUGGUGGGGUAGUGGCUUACCAAGGCUUUGACGGGUAGCCGGCCUGAGAGGGUGACCGGCCACAUUGGGACUGAGAUACGGCCCAGACUCCUACGGGAGGCAGCAGUGGGGAAUAUUGCACAAUGGGCGGAAGCCUGAUGCAGCAACGCCGCGUGCGGGAUGACGGCCUUCGGGUUGUAAACCGCUUUCGCCUGUGACGAAGCGUGAGUGGCGGUAAUGGGUAAAGAAGCACCGGCUAACUACGUG
rnacentral:rRNA from 1 species